CUACGGUAGUUAUGCAAGAGAUGGACAGGCGACAUGCCAUGUGUGGGAGUUGCUGGUCUGCUUGACAUUGGUGUUUGAGACUCAGAAUGUUUGCUGUGUUUAGCAUGUUUUUUGGCAGCAUGGUGCCAGCUCUUGAGUGCUGCUGCUACUCGGUCAUUAAAGACUGUUGGUCUCAUGCUAGAACCCAUCUGUGUCACUAGAGCAUACAGAGGCAGUGUCACAUAACUGCAUACAACCUGUAUGAUGAUCCCCAUUGUAAGUUUGAUUACA
rnacentral:misc_RNA from 1 species